CCUCGAGUAUUUUUUUAAGAAACUCGAAAAUACUCAUGCAGAAAAAUUCAACUCGCACCACAUCACUAUAUAAUACAUUAGAUACUAAGCUUCUGAGUACAGAGAAGUAGUGUUGUGUCAUCCUUAUAUAGGACUGAAGACUGCAGUCUUGUCGAGUAAAGUCUCUGUUCGGUCCAGAUCAGUCUUGCAUAUUAGUUCUAAAACUUAUCAAGUAUGGUCCUUGAUGACGUCAAUCAACUUUAUAUCUCCUUUUUUUAAUCAGUUCUAGUUCUGACAGCCCAAAGAUAGAACCCGUCCUAAUAAUGAAAUGGACUGGACCGAAUAAAUCAGGACUGACAAAACAUUUAACAGGAGAUUCCCCUUUCCUCCAUCAUAAAUAGUAUAUAGAAGAAGUAUGUCAAAUAAAUUCCUUCGAAGUAAAUAUUUUGGAUAUAAGAAAGAACGAAAUGGGAAAAAGGUUCUCAUCAAACAUCAUAAAGAAUCCGCGAAAGAACAUGAAACUGACAGGAAACCAAAGGAAAACGCGGAUCAAAGUCCGAGAGAUUCAAAUAGAAUCUAAUCAACAAAGCAAGUUUGCCCUUUGGACAAUCGAACAAUUUUUCAGGCAAUGCUAAUCAUUCGAAAACCUGCCCUCCAAAUCUAUUAAGAGUUCUUCUUAAACAAACCAAAAUGGAUGAAUUCACUAUCCACUCAAAAUACUCUAAAUUCAAAGAGGAAUAUCCAACAGGCUUCAUUGGUCACUCUCAGUUAAGCCUUGAGAACAAAAAUGAGGACAUGAUCGUGGAUACAAUAUUUGAUAUUUGUGCACGAAACAAGGGUACAUGGGAAAAUAAACUAAUUGGUUUUCGAGAAGUGAUACUUGCAUCAGAAAUGAAAGACAAUAUUCAAGGACCAAAAUCAGUAUUACAAUGGGUAUUUAGGAUUUAUGACGUUCAUGGGGAAGGAAAAAUAAAAUGCAAAGACAUACCCAAUAUCUUUCAGCAAAUACUAAGACUAUGUACAUAUUCAGACGAUUGCAACUCAUCUAAUGAAACCUUCAAUGAAAUAUUGAGACAAUUCCCUACACUAACCUCACAAGAAAAUAUAACUGAAGAGGAAUUCAUCUAUGAUGCCUUACAAAUCAAUAAACUCCACACCAUACUUGAGAACAGUGUCGUUUUAAGCGAGGAAGCAAUUGCAUCAGAUGAAGCUUAAAAUGCAAGCAAACCUUAUACAGAUGUAUUAAAAAAAUAAAGAAAGACUUACGUUGUCCUUAAUCCAUUUGUGAUCUCCUCUUUGACAUCCUUCUUGAUUGAGAAAGGAUUGGAAGUCAGACGUUUUUUUUUGACAGCAAGACCAAAAUUUCAUGCCUUCGUGGAAGAUGGGAACGCCAUUAUGAUACACACAUUGAGUUUCUUCGAUGGCCUCACCAUAUGUCUGUAAUAAUACAGUAAAAAUUAAUUGUGAUACAUAAUUGGGAUGAUAAUAUUAGUAAUAGUAUGUAAUAAUCAAUUAAGAAGUGAUAGUGGAAAUGUAUGUGCCAUUAAAUGGAAAUACUAUGUGUAGAAAAAGUACUGAGACCUGCCUCUAGGUAAUCAUUCAAUACUCUAAAUUGACCAGGAUUAUGUUGAACAAAGAAAAUUUUAUUUUAUUAUGUUUUUACUAUAACAAUGUACAAUAAUGAAGAAUCUGGCCACCAUCAGCCUCAAUGGCCUCCAAAACUCCUUGCACCCAUUGGCAACGUAGUCCUUUUUCAUGAUCCUUCACUGCUAGUUAACGGAGGUCUUCAGGAUAUCAAUAUUCGGGUGGCGGACUUUGCAGACCUUCUUCUCAAUUUGCCACCAAAUGGAGUAAUCCAGUGGAUUCAGAUCUGGGCUCUGAGGGGGCCGAAGGUUCUUAGACCUGAAGUGUAUAUUGCUACCUAUCCACUCUUGUACAAUAUUAGCAGUAUGGACCGGAGCCCUGUCCUGCUGAAAUAUGUACGUGGCCUUAUCAGACUUUCAUGAUCUUGGUGAUCUAUGGGACCACAUUUUCUACACCAUCAAGUUGUCGGCUUCAGGUAACAGGUAUGCAACAGGAAACCGAAUUGAGGCAUUCCCCCCCAGUUGAUGCCAUAACCCCCAACAUCAUCACAGAGGCCGGAUGUUUGGAUUUGGUGACUGUCCUGAUGCUGUCGUCAGUCUUGCCAAAGCAUACCACCCGAUUAUUUUGCUUGUCAACGGGUAAGGUCUUUUCAUAAGAUAAAAAAAUUACCCAGUUGCUGUUGUGCUUCAGGUCAUUCAAGAGUUGUUUACAUUGCUGAAGACUCAGUUCUUUUUGACGUUGGGACAGGAGUGGCCUCUCAAUUCUUCUAAGCGACCUUUCUCUGGUUUUUCGGAUGACCUUGCUCACAGUAGACCGAUGCACCUUCUUCUUCUUGGCGUACUCUGACGUUUAUCGUUGGGUUGACCUUAAAGGCCUCCAUGAUGUCCUCAGGCUUCACUUUGGUGGGUCUUCCAAUCUUGGAUUUGUCUUUAAGGUUGUCCAUAUCAGCCAAACGAUUUCUUACCCAACAGACUGUGGCCUUACUGACAUUUAAGGCAUCCAUGAUGUCCGAGGUUGUUCUCUCGGCACGGAUUAAAUUGCCUAUGAUGGCUCUUCUUGCUUCCAUCGCGACAUAUAUAUAAUUUUUGUUUACAACAUGUAAAUCAAUCAAAGGUCUAUAAUCUAAGCUAUUCAAAAAUAAUCGGAAAUUUAAUUCAGAAUUUAUUCAGAACUGUAUUUUUAGAAGGUCUCAUUACUUUUUCUACAUCCGGUAGACAUUUAAACGAAAUAACUACAUAAAUAAUCAGUUUACUUAAUAGAUCAUUUGUGCAAUAAAUUUAUAACUUGGAA
rnacentral:misc_RNA from 1 species